UAAUACGUAGGGUGCAAGCGUUGUCCGGAAUUAUUGGGCGUAAAGAGCUCGUAGGCGGUUUGUCGCGUCUGCUGUGAAAAUCCGAGGCUCAACCUCGGACCUGCAGUGGGUACGGGCAAACUAGAGUGAUGUAGGGGAGACUGGAAUUCCUGGUGUAGCGGUGAAAUGCGCAGAUAUCAGGAGGAACACCGAUGGCGAAGGCAGGUCUCCGGGCAUUUACUGACGCUGAGGAGCGAAAGCAUGGGGAGCGAACAGGAUUAGAUACCCUGGUAGUCCAUGCCGUAAACGUUGGGCACUAGGUGUGGGGGACAUUCCACGUUUUCCGCGCCGUAGCUAACGCAUUAAGUGCCCCGCCUGGGGAGUACGGCCGCAAGGCUAAAACUCAAAGGAAUUGACGGGGGCCCGCACAAGCGGCGGAGCAUGCGGAUUAAUUCGAUGCAACGCGAAGAACCUUACCAAGGCUUGACAUGUUCCAGAUCGCCUCAGAGAUGAGGUUUCCCUUCGGGGCU
rnacentral:rRNA from 1 species